rnacentral:rRNA from 1 species
GGACACGACUCUUGACAAUGGAUAUCUCGGCUCUCGCAUCGAUGAAGAGCGCAGCGAAAUGCGAUACGUGGUGCGAAUUGCAGAAUCCCACGAACCAUCGAGUCUUUGAAUGCAAGUUGUGCCCGAGGCCUGCCGGCCGAGGGCAUGUCCGCCCGGGCGUCAAG